UACGAGGGGGGCAAGCGUUGUUCGGAAUUAUUGGGCGUAAAGGGCGCGUAGGCGGUGCGGUAAGUCACCUGUGAAAUCUCUGGGCUCAACUCAGAGUCUGCAGGCGAAACUGCCGUGCUGGAGUAUGGGAGAGGUGCGUAGAAUUCCCGGUGUAGCGGUGAAAUGCGUAGAUAUCGGGAGGAAGGCCGGUGGCGAAGGCGGCGCUCUGGAACGUUUCUGACGCUGAGGCUCGAAAGCGUGGGGAGCAAACAGG
rnacentral:rRNA from 1 species